GCUUGUCUCAAAGAUUAAGCCAUGCAUGUCUAAGUAUAAGCAAUUAUACCGUGAAACUGCGAAUGGCUCAUUAAAUCAGUUAUCGUUUAUUUGAUAGUACCUCACUACAUGGAUAACCGUGGUAAUUCUAGAGCUAAUACAUGCUAAAAACCCCAACUUCGGGAGGGGUGUAUUUAUUAGAUACAAAACCAAUGCCCUUCGGGGCUUCUUGGUGAUUCAUGAUAACUUAACGGAUCGCAUGGCCUUGCGCCGGCGACGGUUCAUUCAAAUUUCUGCCCUAUCAACUUUCGAUGGUAAGGUAUUGGCUUACCAUGGUAGCAACGGGUAACGGGGAGUUAGGGCUCGACUCCGGAGAGUGAGCCUGAGAAACGGCUGACACAUCCAAGGAAGGCAGCAGG
rnacentral:rRNA from 1 species